UACAGAGGAGCCAAGCGUUGUCCGGAAUUAUUGGGCGUAAAGAGCUCGUAGGCGGUGUGUCGCGUCGGCCGUGAAAACCUGCAGCUUAACUGUGGGCUUGCGGUCGAUACGGGCAUCACUGGAGUUCGGUAGGGGAGACUGGAAUUCCUGGUGUAGCGGUGAAAUGCGCAGAUAUCAGGAGGAACACCGGUGGCGAAGGCGGGUCUCUGGGCCGAUACUGACGCUGAGGAGCGAAAGCGUGGGGAGCGAACAGG
rnacentral:rRNA from 1 species